CGCGUAGGGUCCGAGAGGUGCAGAACGGAGCGGGGCGUCUUGCUGGAGCCAGCAGCUCGGUGGUGAGAGACCCUGAGGGGAGAAUGAAGAAAGGGGCAGCCGGCCCUGGAGGGGCACUGAGUCCCACAGGCCGCCACAGAAUGGGGACUUCAGCCGCGCUGCUUCGCUCGCCUGAGGCAGGCCCUCUGUUCGCCCCCUCGCAGCCUCUAGAUUCUUCCCUCUCGUCGUUUUCCUCGCGUCUCAGAGACUGCGCGCCCGCCCCCAUUCUGUCGCCCCUGAAGGAAGGCUCCUCCUAACGCCUCCUUUCCGUGUCUCUCAGCUUCCUUGCCUCCCCAGAAGCAACCCUCCAGCUCUGUCGUGUUUACAUCUCCCCCAAGGCUCCUUCACUCCCCCCCGAUCUAUUUCAUAAUUAUAUCCUCCUCUCCAUCACCAACACUCUCAGAAAAUUUUUACCUGCCCCUGACAGUGUGGAAAAAUGUCUCCUGAGCAACCUGGUGAGCGUCCCACACCUCACUAACUGAGUCCAGAACGUUCCUUAUCAAGAGGAUGCUGCUCCCACCUGGGAUGUAGUGACGGUCACGUGGAAAGCAGCGAGUGAAAGCGCUUUGUAAAGUGCUACAGAAAUGUGGUAUUAUCUCCAAUUUACAAAUGAGGAAACUGACACUCAGAUAGACUGAGUGAAAUGAAUGUGGAAGAAGAAUACUUUUCAAGACAAUCAGUUUUAACCCAAAGUGUGAUUCUUCUAAGCAAAAACAAAAACAAAUUAUGUACCAGAGAUGGACAAAAAACCAAAGUUUGAUAACCCUUUCAGUUGGCAAGACUGGGGGAAACAGGCACUCUCAUGCCUCAGUGUGAGAGGAAGAAGAAUCUGGUAAAAUCUACCAAACAUAUCCUUUGACCCAGCAGUUUCCCUUCUGGUAAUCCAUCCUACAGCGCCUGCCCCUGGCUCAGCGCCCGGUGCCAACAGAACACCUUUCAGGAUCCACAGCAACGCAGACAACGAGUCCAGGAUCCCGGCCUCUGCUUGGAACGGAACACAGUGUCAUGGCGGAGACGACGGCCUUUGUCUCGCUGGGUGUGAGAGCAUCCGCUGUGCUGGCUCCACUGCGGCAGAAUCAAGUUUAAAGGAAAAAGUGAUUCAAGUCAGCUUUGUGCCUCUUUGGUGUGGAAGACCCCCAAACCCCAAGUAGCCGAGUCCCUGGGUCCGAGGAACGGCUCAUAGUUGGAGCAGCCUAGGCUGUAAUCCUGGCACUUGCGCCUUCGGUUGCCGCUUGCUCUUCGCUCCUGGGGGUCUGGAUAAUCUCCCUUGGCUUUACCGCACUGUCUGGCCCGCAUACAGGGCCCCGGUAACAUAUACCCGCUGCUGCUAUCACACGAAACUGUGGCGUUGCCCCUGAAUGGAUGGCACUGUGCCAACUCUUCUGCCAUCCGCCCUUGCAGCUUUUUUCUUUCCUCUCUCCCUCCCCUUCUUCUCCUCCUCCUCCCGUCGACUUGACGUUAAUUAACACACGGGUUAAUUGAUUUUAAAAGCCGAAGAAUUACAGUUAACUUUUCCCACAGGGUACAGACGCCAGCCGCUUGGCACACUCUGCCUUUCGCACUGGUGCAGGGGGGCAGGGAAAGCCCGCAGCAAAACUAGCAACUGCUGAGGGAACGUUGCCUGCUUAUUGGAGUAGAGCCGAUAGAAGUCGACGUGGCACUGCCUCAUCCUUACAGUAUAUAGAGCCAUUCGAUAUUUUGUUAAAUAAUCAAAGCACUACCCUGUCUUUCUUCUUCUCCCUUCCUUGUUCAAAACAGGAAAACCCUUCAGAAGUUCUUAAGGGGGGAAAAAAUUUCCUCCCCCAGACUAUUUAUCUCAUCCAUAAUAUGCUUUUUGCCAAUAAUAAGAAAAUACAUGAUGCCUUUUUUUUUUAAAUUAUAAGAAGGAAAGCUACUCUUUCCCUACAUCUCACAGGCAAAGAAGAUUUUUUUAAAAGAGAAAGUUCGGUAAAGUUUCUUUCUUUAUAUCUCAGUGUUUGUUUUGUUUCUAUUCCUCUUGACUCAGAUGGGUUAUUUACUGUGAAGGAUUUCAGUAAGAAAGUAGGUACAUUGUAAUAAGAACAACAUUCAUAUGAAAGCUCUUUGUUUUUUUGUUUGUAUGUGUGUAGAUUUUUGCUUUCUGUCCCCUUGACCCCAAGCCCCUGUAGAAAAUGAAAGCAACUGAUAUUGUAGUUGGGAAGGAGACAGGCAAGGCUGGGAACUUGAUGCUUUCACCUUUUCAUGCUUUCAUUUUAUUUCAUUUUGUUUUUUAAAAGCACGCAGCAAGUGAAGCGACAAGAGGAAUCCAUUAUGCAAAUCAUGUCACUUUGCAUAAUGUCUCAUGACUGGAAUAUGCAAAUGAGCUGUAUAAUUUAUGAGUGCCAGUGUCUGUCUAAAAGUGUUUCACAUAAUUUACAAAGUGAGCCUGAGAGACAUGGGGAAGGCAGCUCUUCCAACUCCAUUGCCAGGAAAGCUUUAUAUUUUCCUACAAGUGCUCCCUAGUAAUAUUGUCAAUGCUAUUUAAAAGGAAUUAAGAUUCCAAAUGUUCAUGAAAGAUGAAGAUUUUCCUCUCACUCCCCUCUCUCCAAUUCUUUGCCUAAAAGUUUACAAGAAACUAUUAGACCCUAAAGCAUUCAUUUUUAGAUUCAAUUUGGAAAACAAAAGUUAUUUGAGCCAAACUUGCUUUUUGUAUAUGGAUUUUCCUUUCUAAAGCAAGGAAUGUCUUAGAGAAACAGACACGUUAUCCAUUUGUCUGGAUCCAUGAAGGCAGAAAAAUGGAAUUUCUCACUUUGGUUGGUUUUGUGUGCCAUGCUGUACAACAUUUUAUAAAUUAUAGUCUCUUGAAUGUAUUAGAUAUAUAGUAUGGAAGACUGAUGCAUUGAAUAUUCUUAUGAAGGUAUAAUUCUGCUUUCAGAGAAGUCUUCAAAAGAGAAAUGCCACUCAAGAAAAACCAGGUUUUAUUCAAGUCAGCUUAGUUGGCUACUCCAUGUCUCAUUUUGGUAACUUUAUUGAGUAAAUGAUUCUGAAUCUUUUGAGACGUUAUAACAUCUUUGAUAAUCUGACCUAAUUUGGCUUUAUAUUUUACAUUUCAGUCAUAAGUUCUGUGAAAGAGAGGUACAGGGUGCCAUGAAAAUAUAUACCAGGAGAACCUAAAAUUUGGAGAGCAUGUCAGAAAAGGCUUCCUGAAGAGAGUUAACUCAAAGUCAAUUCUGAAAGUUGAAGAGAAAUUAGACAAAAAGAGAGAGAAAGUAUUUUACCUGUGGAGAGUAUGUUCCGUAAAUCCUGAGGCAAGAAAAGAUUGUGGCUGCUUUUGGAAUAUUCACAAAGAUAGACCACUUUCUGGUCCAUAAAACAAAACAAAACAAAAAGCUCAACAAAUUUAGAAGUAUUGGAAUCAGACAAAAUAUAUUCUCCGACCACAAACAAACUGAACUAAAAAUCAGUAACAGAGAGAUAUCUGGAGAAUCCCAAAUUUUUGGAAAUUAAACAUAUUUCUAAAUAACAUAUGGGUCAAAGAUGCAGUCACCGGGAAAUUAGAAAAUGUUUUGAAUUGAAUAAAAAUGAAAACACAUUGCAAUAUUUGUGAGAUGCAACUAAAGAAGUGCUUACAGAGAAAUAAGCUUUAAUGCCUUAUUUUAGAAACAAAAAAUGUUUUGAAUCAAUAAUCUAAGUAUCUUAAGAAAACAAAUUAAACUCAAAACAAGAAGAAGGAAGGAAAUAAUAAAGAUAAGAGCAUAAACCAAUGAAAUUGAAAACAGUGGGAAAAAUCAAUAUACCCAAAAGGUGGUUCUUUGCAAAGAAUACAAAAAUUGAUAAACAUCUAGCCAGACUGAACAAGAAAAAAAGUGCAAAGACACAAAUUAUCAAUACCAAGAAUGAAAAGAGGGGCUAUCACUAAAGAUCUGACAGAUAUUAAAUGGAUAAUAAGAGAUAAGUAAAUAACAACUUUGUCAAUAAAUUUGAUAACCUAAAUGAAAUAGAAAAAUUCUUUGAAAGACAAACUACCAAAAUUCAUUCACAAAGAAAUAACUUGAAUAGCUUUAUUUCGAUAAAAGAAAUUGUAGUUAAAAACACCUUCCUAUGAAGAAAACGCCCAGCGCAGAUGGCUUCACUGGCAAGUUCUGCUAACAUUUAAGGAAGAAAUCAUGCCAGUCCUAAACAAUCUCUUUUAGGAAAUAGAAAAAGAAGAAAUGUUUUCCAACUCAUUUUAUGAGGUCAGCAUACUCUGAUGCCAAAACCAGACAAAGACAAUAUAAGAGCAGGAACUACAGACCACAACGCUCGUAAACGUAAACACAAAAAUCCUUAACAAAAUAUUAGCAAAUUGAGUUGAAUAAUAUAUAAAAAGAAUGAUAUAUCAUGACCAAAUCAGGUUGAUUCUAAGAAUGAAAGGUUGGUUCAACAUUCUAAAAUCUAUUUGAUUCACUUUAUCACCAGAUUUUGUUUUUAAUUAUCAAUUCAAUGGAUGUAGGAAAAAUAUGAGCCACAAUAAUCAAAACAGUGUGAUAAACUUAAAGAUUAGUGGAAUAGAAUAGAGACCCUGUAAAUAGACACACAAUUUUCUGGCAAAGAGCCAAAGACAAUCCAGUGGCGAGAGAAUAGUCUUUUCAAUACAUGGUGCCAUAACCAAAUAGAUAAAUACCUUUACCCAUACUUUACUAUAUACAAAUAAUAAUUUUAAAUGGGUAUUAAAACAAAACAAAAACCUAACACUGUAAAAGUUCUUGAAGAAAACAUAAAAUAAAACUUUGUGACCUUGGGCUAGGAAAAAGAUUUUAUAGAUGGGGAGAAAGAAACCUGAACUAUGAAUGAAAAAGGUAAGUUGGACUUUAGCAAACUUGAAAAUUUUUGCUAUUUGAAUGACACUGUUAAAUAAGUGAAAAAAUAAGCUAUAGACUGGGACAAAAUAUUUGCAACCCAUAAUGAGGAGAAAAAUUAAUCAAUUUAAACCAAACCAAAAAUGACACAAAAGAUAGAAUUAGUAUUUGGAGACAUUAAAACAGUUAUCACAACUGAAUUCCAUAUAUCCAAAAAGUUAGAAGAAAUCAUGAACAUAUUAAAUAGAGACAUGAAAGAUAAAAAAAUACUCUGAUUGAAUUUGUGGAGACUAAAACUACCAUGUCUGAGAUGAAGAAUACCAUAUCAGGAAGGGAUUGACAGAUUAGAUAUUUCAGAAGAAAAGAUCAGUCAACUUUAAGAUGUAGAAAUAGAAACUAUCCAAAAUGACACAUAGAAAUAAAAAUAACGAACAGAGCAUCAGUGACUUGUGGGACAACUUAAUGUGUCCUAAUAUAUGUGUAAUUGAAGCCCUUAAAGGACAGAUAGAAUGGGAACAAAAAAAUAUAUUCAAAGAAAUAGCUGAAAUUUUUUCCAGUUUGGUGAAAACUAUAAACUAAUAAGUCCAACUAUCUCAAUGAACCCCUAGCACAAGAAACAUGAAUAAAACUAUCCUAAGGCACUUCCUAAAUGGUUAAAAUCAGUAAAAAGCAGAAUGUUUUAAAAGCAGCUGGAGAAAAGACACAUUAUUUACAGACAAGCAAAGAUAAAAAUGACAGCAGAUUUCUCAUUGGAAUCAAUGCAAGCCAUAAGACAAUGGAGAAACAUCUUUAAAGUAUUGAAAGAAAAAAAAAUAGUUAAACUGAAAUUCUAUAAACAGCAAAAAUAUCUUUCAAAAGCAAAGGUGAAACGCAAACUUUUUCAGAUGUACAAAAGCUGAAAGAAUUCAUCAUUAGCAGACCUGCAGUAUAAAAAAUGUUAGGAGAAACUCUUCAGACAAAUGGAAAAUUAUGCCACAUGAUAAAAAUCCUUUGAAAUGGUAAUUAUGUUAGUAUAAUUUUAAAACUUUUAUUACUUAAAUAUAUUUAAAGGUAAUUGACUAUUGAAAGCAAAAAUAAUAACAAUGUAUUGUUUUUAUAACAUGUAAAGGUAAAAUCUAUGACAAUAGCACAAAAGCUAUUGAAGAAAAUGGAGAAAUGAAAGAAUCCUAAGUUUCUUAUAUUAUACAUGAAGUGGUAUAAUAUCACUUGAAGAUAGACUAUGAUAAGUUAAAGUCGUACACUGUAAACUCUAAAAAAAAGCUAAAAUGACACAACAAAGAGUUAUAGUUAAUAAGCUAACAAAAGAGAGAAAAUGGAAUAAUAAAAAGUGCCCAAUUAAUCCAAAACAAAUAGCAAGGUAGACUUAAAAGUCAUCUUCAAUAAUUACAUUAAAUGUAAAUGGCCUAAAUACCCUAAUUAAAAGGUAGAGAUUGUCAGAUUGCAUAGGAAACAGCAAGACCCAAAUAUAUGCUGGCUACGACAAAACCACUUUAAAUAUAAAUAUUUAAAUGUAAAUAGUUUAAAAGUUAAAGGAGGGGAAUAGAUAUACCAUAUUAACACUAAUCAACUGAAAGCUGGAGUGCGUAUAUUAAUAUAAAACAGUGUAUUUCAGAGCUCAUAGAACCAGAUCCCAUAAAGAUGAAGUCAGCCACUAUUGCAUUCUCUUGCUGUCUAUGGCAACAAUUGGAUCCAAGCUUCUCUUUCAAUUCAUGGAUUCUGGAUCUGGGAACUGUCUCUGGUCUGGAAACUGAGCAAGGGAUUAUGACGUUUCAUUGAAGUGGCUGACAUCAUCUUUCUGCUCAUCCAAUCUUGAUCUCUUUUGAAUAUAGGUUAUUUUUAUAAAACACAUUUGUUGACUGCCCAUCUGUCUUGCCUCUAGUAACAUCAAGUUCUCUGAGCUAUUUACAUAAAUCCCUGUGGGUCAGGGACCCCCUGGUUGCCACUUGAAACUUGCUGCCUAUCAUAGUACUUAUUUCCAUCACUCGCCUGAUAUUUAAGUGCUGCCACCUAAUCUCUGCUAUUCGUGGAUCAUAUCAUCCACAUUUAUAGAAGACAGUCCAUUCCUGUAAUACCAUCACCUUCAAGGUCCCCACCUACAGAGAACAGUCACUACUAAACUACUCAAUGAUGCUAGUAAAUGAAGCAUCUUCCAAAUCCUUUCAGGGAACAUACAAGCCAAUUUGGUCUUAUGUAACAUGUCCAUUCCAGCAUAUCCACUUCUCUGAGCUUUUUAUUAUUCCUGAAUUGUUUAUGACACCAGUUAUCAUAUCUCUAUUUAAUGUGGGCCACCACUCUUUUCAGGUUUCCAAGAACCAUUCUAUCAUCAUAUUAAAAACUAACUUCAAGGGCCCUUGUCAGGGCAUUAAGUCUGAGUCAUGGAAAAGUUUUCCCAUUAGGCAGCUUUAUAUUCCACUUCCUUGGCCCAGCACCCUCAGGAUAUACUCUGGGCAUAUUCUGCCAGUUCCUCCGGUACUGAUUAGCCAGGUGCUGCCACUCUCUGUUGGCAUUAAAUCUCUCUCUUCCCUUAGCAGGCCUGAGAUUUCCCCGGUGGGGCCAUGCUGAGAUUAGACACUAGUUAUUGCUCUGGUGCCCAGGAGGUGAAGUGAAGUCAGGUUCUGAGAAAGGAAAACAUUAUAAGGCACCUGCCUCAUUUGAAGCCUCUGCCUGGUCAUCAAGCAUCAUGGAGCCCCUGUCCUCUAACAAGUGGAAGUGAAUCCCUUCCACUGGCCAAAGGUUUGAGGGUAAUCCAGGUGUUCAAAAUUCUCAACUGCAUCAACCCUAAUAUCCCCAUCCCAAGGCUCAGGAUCCCACUUCUCUAUCAGGGCCCUGCCUUUGGCAUAGAAUAUUUGACUAGAAUGAGAAAUUAGCCUUCUCUUUAGCUCUGCCACUUUUAUAAUUAAGUCACAUUCCUAAUCUUAAAUCAUAUUUGGCCUUUGAUUUUUAUUUUUUGUUUUAAACUGGUGCUUAAUUAACCUAAGUCUCUCAUUCUCUUUCUUCAAUAAGUCAGUUGUGCUCAGCAAUAACCACCUAGUCCCACAGUCCUAAUACAGCCAUGCGCUACAUAAUGAUGUUUUGGUCAAUGACAGACUGCAUAUACUAUGGUGAUCCCAUAAAAUUAUAAUGGAGCUGAAAAUUUCCUGUUGCCUAGUGACAUCAUAGCCAUCAUGAUGUCAUAGCUGUUGUAACAUCAUAGCAAGAGAAAAGGAAACUGCAGGAGAAGAAAAAGAACUCCCAAGAAAAUUCACAGUGAAGGGUUUAGAAGAAGCUUUUGCAGACCUAAAAAAGCUCCUUAAAAAGUUUGAAAACAUGGACCCCAACAUUGGAAGGUUUUCAUUAAUGGAGAGGAAUAUUCAUGGUGCAUUAUCUGCUUACAAGCAAAUUUAUGAUGAAAAAGGAAACCAACCAAACCAUCAUGGACAUAUUUCUGAAAAGAGUGACACCUCCUCAAGAAGAGCCUCUGGCACGUCCUUCAGAAGGUUUUCCAGAAGAAGUCUUUGUUAUCAUAGAUGACAGCUCCAUGUAUGUUACUGCUCCUGAAGACCCUCCAGUGGGACAAGAUGUGGAGGUAGAAGACAGUGAUAUUGAUGAUCCUGACCCUUUUUAGGCCUGGGCUAAUGUCUGUCUGUGUCUUAGUUUUUAAUUAAAAAGUUUAAAAAUUUAAAAAAAUAAAUAAAUUUUAAAAGAGCAAAAAGCUUAUAGAAUAAGGAUAUAAAGAAAGAAAAGAUGUUUGUACAGCUGUACAGUGUGUUAUACACAUUGGGUUUUAAGCUAAGUGUUAUUACAAAAGAGUCAAAAAGUUAAAAAAAAUUAAAAAUUAUAAAGUAAAAAAGUUACAGUAAGCUAAGGUUAAUUUAUUAUUGAAGAAAUAAAAAUAAUUUUUAUAAAUUCAGUGUUGUCUAAGUGUACAGUGUUACAAAGUCUACAGUAGUGUAUAGUAGUGUCCUAGGCCAUCACAUUCACUUACCACUCACUCACUGACUCACCCAAAGCAACUUCCAGUCCUACAAGCUCCAUUCAUGGUAAGUGCCCUGUACGGUAUACCAUUUUUUAUCUUUUAUACUAUAUUUUUACUCUACCUUUUCUAUGUUUAGAUACACAAAUACUUACCAUUAUAUUAGAAUUGCCUACAUAUUCAGUACAGUAACGUGCCAUAUAGGUUUAUACAUAGGAGCAAUAAGGUAUAUUGUAUAAUCUAGGUGUGUAGUAGGCUAUACCAUCUAGGUUUGUGUAAGUACACUCUAUGUUGUUCACACAGUGACAAAAUCACCUGAUACAUUUCUCAGAACUCAUCAUUAAGUGAUGCAUGACUGUACUUAACUCUCUUCAUCAUUGUUCUGAAAUGCCAGGGAAAUUACACAGGCUGGUACAUUUUUUUCCACCUCUAUCACAUCCCCAUUCACCAAAGGUGAAAGACUUAACAUUUGCACUAUUACAGCCUGCCAGACUCUAGGACCUUUCCUAGACUAUGCUUCUAACUAUCAGUCCUGGUAGCAACUGUCCUAGGUAGAGUUUCCUAAAGGCAGAGCCUUUACUGGGCAAAGCCCCAAUAGCAUCUACAACAAUAGCCAAGUAGCAAAUAAACAUACAAGUGUGUUUAUGCUCAUUAGUUAUGAAAAUGGAAAUUAAAACCCAGUGACAAACCACAUGUUCCAUAUACUUUUGAAAAAAAAUGUAUCUUCUGCAGUUGUCAGGUAUAGGGCUCUAAUAGGUCCAGUUGAUGGUUGUUCAUCUCUAUAUCUUCUGAUUUGCUAUCUGCUUGUUCUAUCAGUUACUGAGGAAGGAGUGUUAAAAUCUUCAACUAUGAGUGAGUACUUUUUUAUUUGUCUUUAUUUCUGUCAUUUUUGUUUCAUGUAUUUUGAAGUUUUGUUAUUAGAUGCAUACACAUUUAGGACUGCAAUGCAUUCUUAGUGAAUUGAACUUUUUAUCAUGGUGAAAUAUUUUUCUUGUCUCUGGCAAUAUAGUCGUUCCUCAGUAUCCAUGGGGGAUUGGUUCCAGGACCUCUGUAGAUACCAAAAUUUGGAAAUACUCAAGUCUCUUAUAUAAAACGGCAUAGUAUUUGCACAUAACCUACAUACAUCCUCACGUAUAUUUUAACUCACCUCUAGAUUACUUUUAAUACCUAAUACAAUUUAAAUGCUAUGUAAAUAGUUGUCAUACUGUAUUUUUUAGGGAAUAAUGACAAGAAAAGCAAGUGUACAUGUUCAGUACGGAUGCAACCAUCGUAGGCCUUUCCAUCCAUGGUUGGUUGAAUCUGAGGAUAUGGAACCCGUGGAUAUGGAGAGCCGACUGUACUCCUUGUUUUGAAGUUUACUUUGUGUGACAUUAAUUGAUUGAUCCUGUUUCCAUAAUAUAUCUUGUUUCACUAAAUUAUAGUUUUUAGUAAUGCAUACUUAGGUGGUAAAUUUGUUAGGAGAAGCAAGUAACUAGAUAACCUAAAAAUUAAAGCCUGGGUUAUUUGAGGAGGCGGGGCGUUGAGCAGGGAAGAUGUAAUCGGAACAUAGCACUUGGGAUGUUUUUCUGUUGCUAGCAAGAUUCUAUGUUUUUAUUUGGAUGGUGGUAACACAGGUGUCUGCUUAAUUCACUAGGCGUAUAAUUAUAUUUGGUGCACUUUUACAUGUUUUAUAGUUCACAAUGAAAAAAUUCAGAAGCAAAAAAAUGUUAAUUAUGUCAUGCAUACAAAGAAUAUUUACAAAAAAUUAACCACAAGCCUUGUCACAAAGGAAAUCUCACCAAAUGUCAAAAAAGUGAUAUUCAGAUUGUGGUUUCUCAGCAACACACAGUCAUAUUCAAAAUCAACCAUAAGAUGUAGUUUUUAAAACUCCGUAUGAAUAGAAUACAUAAUGCAAGUAAUGGAUUAUCACCCAUGGCAUUAAAUACAUAUCCAUGAAGCUACACUGAUAUAAAUAGAUUGGGGCAAAAGGACAACUCUUCCUUAUAGUGAAAUUCCAAUAAAUAAAUGUAGAAAGAAUAAUGGAAAUAGAAAAUCACCAUUUGGCAAAUAUUAUAGAAACAAUUAUUGCAGGCAAUAAUCAUCCAUGGAUGCUAAAAUUGCUGGAUGGAGGUAUGACAAAAAAGAGACUAUUUAUCUUUUACUUCUUUUAUCCCAUCUCUAAGUAUCUCCUCUGCGAGAUAUGAAUUAAUUACAAAGGGAAAAAUAAUAACUUUAGCGUGAGGAAUCCUGGCAGACACCACCUUAACUAGUUUUCAGAGUUAAUAUCAAGCAGUAUUGGGACAUCUGGAUUUCAGGUACCUCCUGAUAUGAUGCAGUCUCACUGUAUCAUCUUGGGCUUAGCAUCACCUUGGCAAAAAUGCAUAAUCUCAGUCUAAUUAUGAGAAAAUUUCAGACAAAGUAAAAUUGAGGGACAUUCUACAAAAUAACUAAUUAACAUUCUUCAAAAGCGUCAAGAUUAUGGAAAAACAAGGAAAGACUGAGAAACUGUCACAGAUUGGUGAAGACUAAGGAGAUGUGAUGACUAAAGGCAACCUCUUCCUCCUAUACAGACACUUUUUAAGAGUUUCUCCUUGCAAUAAAGCCAUGAUCACUACUUUUUAUAUCUAGUAGGAGAGUCUCUAUAAAUAUACCAAAGGCUUCUCACAUACACAAGUGCCCUUCAACAUUGUGACAAAGACACCUUUUUUAGUUUUGUUUUGUUUUAUCUAUUACUGCCUCUUCAUAGGCCAUAAGUCUGUUGGCAUGUCUUUUCCACUUAAUCAGAGGUGGUAAUCAGCCAGCUCAUUGAGGGGGACAUCUUGCUGGAGUAACAGAUGACACAGCUACAACAGAGGUACAAGAAAUCCAUGAUGACCAUCUAUCGCAAACAACUUAGUCCUUCAUUUAUAAAAUGUACAGAAAGAUCACCAGAAUAUGCGGAAAAUCAGGAAAAUGAAUACGAAAGAGUAAAAUGAGAAAAAUGACUUAUUGACCCCAGAGGAAAUGUAGAUGAUGCAAGAAACACAAAACUUUUAAAACUUUGGUUUGAGUCCUUAGAGAGAUUCACCAAAAGAGAGACUGAGAGAGAAUAACAGGCUUCCACGCAAAGGAGAAAUCACAGCAGGAAAGAAUUCUUAGAGGUUAAAAGGCAUGACAGUCAAAACAGAGAAUUCAAUAGAAUUGAUAAAAUGACAUCUUGCCAACUGAAUUAGUAAUAUGAAAGGAAAUUUCCCGUAAUAUGGAAAAAAAAGACAUGAACAGAGAAGAGUUGAGAUGUAGUUAUCAACGUUUAUCUCGUUGUUAGUUUCCUUUAUUUUAGAGCAUUCAUUUAGGCUUUCUUAGUCAUUUCUAUUUGGAAAAGGCAUCUCAUACUCUUUUUCCACUAUCACCCUAGAAGUCAUAAACCUAUAAACAUAAACAAUAUCCAAAGUGUUUAAACUGAGAUAUAAAAUAGCUUUUCUAUAGCCAUCAAUUCUGUGUGUUUACAUUGUUCACAUUGCCUUUUUCCAAAGCUGAAUGUUUAUAUUUACUUAAAAAGUAACAAAUUAUUGUUGUAAGAUAAUAAGCCUUAUAGAUAUGUGAAAAGAUAAAGUAUGCCCCAUCUCUACCAUCCUCACUGCACCUCUCCAGCGGUAACCAUUGCUGACAGCUUUCAUAUAUUCUUUAAGACUUUUCCUAUGCAUGCACAACUAUGUAUACAAAAUGCUGAACAAAAAUGGGGUCAUAAUUAUUUUCCGACAUCUUGCAUUUUUUACUCAAUAAUAAAGCAUUGGAAUCUUUUGUCUAUGUCUACAUAUCUGUCUCAUUUUUAACAACUACAUAGAAUUCCACACUAUGAAUACAUCAUAGUUUAAAUAACCAUUUUUCAGUUGAACCUUGUCCCCUGUAAUCAAUAAUUACAAUUGUGUCUUCAGGUUUGAUGCACAUCAA